rnacentral:lncRNA from 1 species
UUCAUGUUAGUGUUCACAGAUAUAAACCGUGUCUAUAGAGUAGUCUAUGAUGAUGGUGUAGGAAUAACAAUAAUAUAAAAUAAAUUAAGAAUUUGUAUUAAUUUAUUCAAAGAAGUUUGUUAUUGAUUCAAAUUUCUAUCGGGGAGGUUAGCAAAACUUAUAGGAACCUAAAUAGUGUCAUUUAGAUGAUAGAUAGAACCUAAACAGUUGUCAUUUAGAUCAUAGAUAGAACCUAAACAGUUGUCAAAUGGGUCUAUAAUACUAUUAGAGGGAGCCAAGAUUAUAGGAGUCAAAUGGGUCUAUAAGACUAAAUUGAGAAGCAACAUGACAUGGUUCUAUAGGAUGUCACACCUUAUCAUGACAUCAGACGUUCUUGGAAGACCACCUAGGCCAGUUGACCUGAAGGUACUUGAGGCUCAGGAAGACCACACCGAGGAUGUGACGGCGGUAUGUCGGUGUGUUGUGGAGAUGUGUAGAACAGACAUAAAGGCAGGACUUUUUAAGGUUGAUAGUCUCCAGUUGGCCCUUGUGUAGAACAUGAUUGCCGAGUUACAGAAUAUCGUGCCCUUGUGUAGAACAUGAUUGCCGAGUUACAGAAUAUCGUGCAGUAUAGGCGAAAGAGAGCGUGAAAGGGUAGACAUAUCCAGUAGGUUAGGUUUGGAUGUAUUUCUUUUUGUAUUUUCGGAUAAAUGUUAUGUAUGAUCUUUACUUUUAAUUAAUGUAUGACUAUUUAACUUUCAUUUGAGUUUAAUAUUAUUUGAGUUUACUUUAAAAUAA